UGUGACCUGCAGGUACACAUCCAGAUGGCCAGUUCCUGCCUUAACUGAUGACAUUCCACCACAAAAGAAGUGAAAAUGGCCUGUUCCUGCCUUAACCGAUGACAUUAUCUUGUGAAAUUCCUUCUCCUGGCUCAUCCUGGCUCAAAAGCUCCCCUACUGAGCACCUUGUGACCCCAACACCUGCCCGCCAGAGAACAACCCCCCUUUGACUGUAAUUUUCCUUUACCUAUCCAAAUCCUAUAAAACUUCCCUACCCCUAUCUCCCUUCGCUGACUCUCUUUUCGGACUCAGCCCGCCUGCACCCAGGUGAAAUAAACAGCCUUGUUGCUCACACAAAGCCUGUUUGGUGGUCUCAUCUCACGGACGUGCAUGAAAGAAGGGAAUGGAAGGCUUCUACCAAGUCCCUACAUGAUCAGGUUUUAAAACUGAAAUUUCCACACUCCAAAAAUCCAUUUAGUGGCAAACCAGGAACAAGAUAAUACAGGGAUGAAGAAGCCAGACAUCUGAUCCCAAAGAGCCAACAGAAAGGAAUGGAGAGAGAAAUGGUCAUCCCCUCAAAGGAAGGACAAGUUUGGAAUUCUGUGGUUAUUUCUGCCUGGUUGGGACUGAAUGAUGUGAGCUGAUGGUCACCAAGGAAAUCUUUACAGGGAGUGAUUGAAUUAUGAAAUGGAAGGGAGAAGUGAGGA
rnacentral:lncRNA from 10 species